rnacentral:rRNA from 1 species
UGAGUACGAGACGCUAAGGCGUUGAAGUGGUGUAUAUCAGACUUCCGAGAAAAGCUUGCACUGUCAUAAAUAGAAAAUGCCUGUACCAUAACCGACACAGGUGGGUAGGUAGAGUAUACUAAGGGGCGCGAGAUAACUCUCUCUAAGGAACUCGGCAAAAUAACUCCGUAACUUCGGGAGAAGGAGUGCCUUAUUCGUAAGGCUGCAAUAACAAGAUCCAAGCAACUGUUUAUCAAAAACACAGGUCUCCGCUAAGUCGUAAGACGAUGUAUGGGGGCUGACGCCUGCCCAGUGCCAGAAGGUUAAAGAAGUUGGUUAGCAUUAGCGAAGCUGAUAACUGAAGCCCUGGUGAACGGCGGCCGUAACAAUAACGGUCCUAAGGUAGCGAAAUUCCUUGUCGGGUAAGUUCCGACCCGCACGAAAGGCGUAAUGAUUUGGAUACUGUCUCGGAGAGGGGCUCGGUGAAAUAGACUUGUCUGUGAAGAUGCGGACUACCUGCACCAGGACAGAAAGACCCUAUGAAGCUUUACUGUAACCUGAAAUUGAAAUUGGACUUUAGUCGCGCAGUAUAGGUGGGAGGCUUUGAUGAUACACUUGCGGGAGUAUCGGAGCUAUCAGUGAGAUACCACUCUUCUAAUGUUAGAUUUCUAACUUUGAAUCAUUAUCUGGUCAAAGAACAGUUUCAGGCGGGCAGUUUGACUGGGGCGGUCGCCUCCCAAAUGGUAACGGAGGCGUACAAAGGUUUCCUCUGAACGGUUAGAAAUCGUAUCUAGAGUGUAAAGGCAUAAGGAAGCUUGACUGUGAGACCUACAAGUCGAACAGGGACGAAAGUCGGUCUUAGUGAUCUGACGGUACUGAGUGGAAAGGCCGUCACUCAACGGAUAAAAGUUACUCUAAGGAUAACAGGCUGAUCUCCCCCAAGAGUUCACAUCGACGGGGAGGUUUGGCACCUCGAUGUCGGCUCAUCGCAUCCUGGGGCGGUAGUACGUCCCAAGGGUUGGGCUGUUCGCCCAUGAAAGCGGUACGCGAGCUGGGUUCAGAACGUCGUGAGACAGUUCGGUCCAUAUCCGGUGUGCGUUAGAAUAUUGAGAGGAGCCUUCUUUAGUACGAGAGGACCGAGAAGGACAUACCUAUGGUGUACCAGUUAUCGUGCCAACGGUAAACGCUGGGUAGCUAAGUAUGGAGUGGAUAACCGCUGAAAGCAUCUAAGUGGGAAGCCCACCUCAAGAUGAGUAUUCUC